rnacentral:rRNA from 1 species
UACGGAGGGUGCGAGCGUUGUCCGGAAUCACUGGGCGUAAAGGGCGCGUAGGCGGCUUCUCAAGCGUGUGGUGAAAGUCCGGGGCUCAACCCCGGAUCUGCCGUGCGGACUGGUUUGCUAGAGCACUGUAGAGGCGAGUGGAAUUCCGGGUGUAGCGGUGGAAUGCGUAGAGAUCCGGAAGAACACCGGUGGCGAAGGCGGCCUGCUGGGCAGUUGCUGACACUGAGGCGCGACAGCGUGGGGAGCAAACAGG